rnacentral:tRNA from 1 species
CGGGGUGUAGCAUAAUGGUAGUGUGCGCGCAUGGGGUGCGUGCGGCCUGGGUUCGAUUCCCAGCACCCCGA